GGGAACGGGCCGCCACGCGCGCUCCUCGCUUCGGCCGCGGAGGGUGCUGGGGGCAGGCCCGAGGCUACCGGCAGUACACCAGAGUUUUGGCUACUUCAGCUCCAGCUGCUGCUGAUACUAAAGAAGAAAGCAAAACUGGCACAGAAAAUAAUUCUCCCAACCUAAUAUUCAUUACACAUCAGGCUGAAUUACCAGAUUCUUCAUCAUCACCCUGUGCAAUAAUCCUGAAUAUUCAGUUGUUGACACCAUGACCAGCAGCCACAGCAAUUAUUGACUCAUCUGCACUUUUCAUUUUGGAAGUUAUCUUGUGAACAAAGCUGCAAAUUCUAAAUCCUGUCUGCUGCACCACUGUUUUGACUAUGUGUUUGAAAUCCACCUGAAAUAUAGGUAUUUUCCUCCUUCUUAAAGAUUUUAUUCUCUCCAAGCCAGAAGCUCAGAUCACCCUGUACUAAGCACUAGGAUUUGGACUAGUGGUUAGAUCUCUCUAUAUAUGAGUUGCUAUAAUUUGAUGAAGAUCUAGUUUCAGUUUGCA